rnacentral:rRNA from 1 species
CACGUAGGGGGCAAGCGUUGUCCGGAUUUAUUGGGCGUAAAGAGCUCGUAGGCGGUUCGAUAAGUCGGGUGUGAAACCUCCAGGCUCAACCUGGAGACGCCACCCGAUACUGUUGUGACUGGAGUCCGGUAGGGGAGCGUGGAAUUCCUGGUGUAGCGGUGAAAUGCGCAGAUAUCAGGAGGAACACCAAUAGCGAAGGCAGCUCGCUGGGACGGUACUGACGCUAAGGCGCGAAAGCGUGGGGAGCGAACAGG